rnacentral:rRNA from 1 species
UACGAAGGAUCCAAGCGUUAUCCGGAUUUAUUGGGUUUAAAGGGUGCGUAGGCGGGCUAUUAAGUCAGUGGUGAAAUCCUGCAGCUUAACUGUAGAACUGCCAUUGAUACUGCUAGUCUUGAGUAUGGUUGAGGUGGGCGGAAUGUGUCAUGUAGCGGUGAAAUGCUUAGAUAUGACCCAGAACACCAAUUGCGAAGGCAGCUCGCUAAGCCAUAACUGACGCUGAUGCACGAAAGCGUGGGGAGCAAACAGG